rnacentral:lncRNA from 1 species
CUUCUUCGCCACCCAAAGACUCACGCAUACACACAUUUUUCUUUCGUAUCUGCUGUCUCAGCCUCCCUCGGGCCAAUUUGGGUAAAUGCGUCCAAGAGGAAGAAAUAAAAAUGAAAAGACUGACAGUUUAAAAGCAUGUGGAGGGCUUAGAAGAUAAAGACGAGUGCAAGAAAGGGAGAGCGCGGCCGGCCGCGGUGUCUCACGCCUGUCAUCCUAGCACUUUGGGAGGCCGAAGAGAUCGGAUCACUUGAGGUCCGGAGUUCAAAUCCAGCCUGGCCAACAUGGUGAAACCCCGUCUCUACUAAAAAUACAAAAAAAUUAGCCGGACCUGGUGGCGGGCGUCUGUAAUGCCAGCUACUCGGGAGGCUGAGGCGGGAGAAUCGCUUGAACCCGGGAGGCGGAGGUUGCAGUGAGCCGAGAUCGCGCCACUGCAUUCCAGCCUGGGCAACAGACUGAGACCCUGCCUCAAAAGAAAAAAAGAAAAAAAAAAAAGGAGAGCGCGUACUGUUGCGGAAGGGGCACUGCUCGAGAAACAGAGACGAAGGGAUGAUUUUCAAGUAAUCAAGACACCGAGAAAGACAAGAUUGGGGAUGGAAGAGCAGUAAGAAUUAAUGGAGACGUCCAAGAAUUGUAGUUCGGGCGCGGUGGCUCAUGCCUGUAAUCCCAGCACUUUGGGAGGCUGAGGUUAGUGGAUCACCUGAGGUCAGGAGUUCGAGACCAGCCUGUCCAAAUGGCGAAACCCCAUCUCUACUAAAAAAUACAAAAAUUAGCCGAGCAUGGUGGCGCACGCCUGUAAUCCCAGCUACUGGGGAAGCUGAGUCAGGAGAAUAGCUUGAACCUGGGAGGUGGGAGGUGGAGGUUGCAGUUAACCGAGCCACUGCAUUUCAGGUUAGGUGACAGAGUGAGGCUAUGUCUCCAAAAAAAAAAAAAAAAAAAAAAAAAAGAAGAAGAAGAAAAGCAAAUGGGUAGUUUGUUUUGCAUGCUUCUUGCCAGGCAGAAAAGGUGCUUGAGAGGAGAAAGAAGUGGAAAACUGGAAAGGGGGGGAAUCUAAAUCAAGGACUUUAUUUUCCUUACUGUUGAGUUGUAAAUACAGUCCUCCUUUGACAUUUAUCUUCCCCUUUUUCUAUGGUUUAAAAACAGGUGAUUUGGCUGGGCAUGGUGGCUCACACCUGUAAUCCCAGCAGUUUGGGAGGCCAAGGCAGGCGGAUCACUUGAGAUUACGAGUUCAAAGACCAGCUUGGUCAACAUGGUGAAACCCUGUCUCUACUAAAAAUACAAAAAUUAGCUGGGUGUGGUGGCAGGCACCUGUAGUCCCAGCUACUCGGGAGUCUAAGGCAGGAGAAUCGCUUAAACCCAGGAGGUGGAGGUUGCAGUGAGCCGAGAUCGCACCAUUGCACUCCAGCCUGGGAGACAGAGUGAGACUCCGUCUCAAAAGCAAAACAAAACAAACAAAAAACAACGUGAUUUAUAUAUCAUGGCGUUGUAUUUAUGUAUUAUGUAGUUUUUUUUCUUUUGACACAGGGUCUCACCCUGUUGCCCAGACUGGAGUGUAGCAGAGCGAUCACGGCUUCACUGCAGCCUCAGACUCCUGGGUUGAAACAACCCUCCCACCUUCCUGAAUACCAGCUAUUGUCCCAGCUUCCUGAAUACCUGGGACAAUAGUUGGGACUAUGGGCACAACUGUCUUGGGACUAAAUUUGUAUUUUAUUUUAUUUUAUUUUUAUUUUUUAGAGACGGAGUUUCGCUCUUAUUGCCCAGGCUGGAGUGCAGUGGCGCGAUCUAGGUUUACUGCAACCUACGCCUCCCGGGUUCAAUCGAUUAUCCUGCCUCAGACUCCGGAGUCGCUGGGAUUGCAGGCAUGCACAACCACUCCUGGCUAAUUUUUUUUUUUUUUUUUUUUUUUUUUGAGACGGAAUCUUGCUCUGUUGCCCAGGCUGGAGUGCAGUGGCACCAUCUCGGCUCACUGCAGCCUCCGCCUCCCGGGUUCAACCGAUUCUCCUGCCUCACCCUCCCAAGCAGCUGGGACUACAGGCGCGUGCCAGCACGCCCAGAUAAUUUUUUUUUGUAUUUUUAGUGGAGACGGGGUUUCACCAUAUUGGCCAGGCUGGUCUCAAACUUCUGACCUCGUAAUCCACCCGCCUCAGCCUCCCAAAGUGCUGGGAUUACAAGCGUGAGCCACGGUGCCUGGCGGCUAAUUUUGUGUUUUUAGUAGAGAUGGGGUUUCUCCAUGUUGGUCAGGCUGUUUUGGAAUUCCCGACCUCAGGUGAUCGGCCCGCCUUGGCCUCCGAAAGUGCUGAGAUUACAGGCGUGAGCCACCGCGGCCAGCCUGUAUUUUAUUUUUUGUAGAAUCAGUGUUGCGCUAGGUUGCUCAGGCUGGCCUCUAACAUCUAGGCUCAAGGGAUCCUUCCUGCCUCUGCCUUCAGAGUAGCUAGAAUUACAGACACACAUCACCAUGCCCAGCUUUGUUUGCUUGUUUUGAGAUAGGAUUGGCUGGUUUUGAACUCCACCGCUCCCAGCCUGUAUUUUAUUUUUUAUGCACUUGGUAGUGCCCCUUCAUGACACUUAACAUAAACUUUCAGCCAGGAACAGUGGUUCCCACCUGUAAUCUUUGCCCAGGUGGGAGGAUUGCUUGAGCCUACAAGUUUGAGACUAGCUUGGGCAAUAUAGUGAGACGCCAAUCUCUAUCUUUAAAAAACUAAAACAUUAGUCCGGGCGCAGUGGCUCACGCCUAUAAUUUCAGUACUUUGGAGGCCGAGGCGGGUGGAUCACCUGUGAGGUCAGGAGUUUGAGACCAGCCUGGCCAACAAGAUGAAACCCCGUCUCUACUAAAAAUACAAAAAUUAGCCAGGCGUGGUGGUGGGCAUCUGUAAUCCCAGCUACUCGGGAGGCUGAGGCAGGAGAAUCACUGGAAUCCAGGAGGUGGAAGUUGCUGUGAGCCGAGAUCGCACCAUUGCACUCUAGCCUGGGUGACAGAGCAAGACUCUGUCUCAAAAAAAAAAUUUUUUUUCUAAUAAAUUUUAAAAAAACAAAACAUUAAAUAGGCUGGGCCUGGUGGCUCAAGCCUCUAAUCUCAGCACUUUGGGAGGCUGAGAUGGAAGGAUCACUUGAGCUCAAGAACUCGAGUCCAGCCUGGACGAUGUAUCAAGACCUCAUCUCUACAAAUAAUGUUAAAAAUUAUUAGUGCAGCAUAAGUGGCAUAGGCUUGUGGUCCCAGCUACUUGUGAGGCUGAUAUGGUUUGGCUCCGUUUCCCCACACAAACAUCAUCCCAAAUUGUAACCCCCACCUGUUAAGGGAGGGUCCUGGUGGGAAGUGAUUGGAUCAUUUGGACAGUUUCCUCCAUGCUGUUCUAGUGAUAAUGAGUGAGUUCUAACAAGAUCUGAUGGUUCGGCUGGGCGCGGUGGCUCAAGCCUGUAAUCCCAGCACUUUGGGAGGCCGAGGCGGGUGGAUCAUGAGGCCAGGAGAUCGAGACCAUCCUGGCUAACACGGUGAAACCCCGUCUCUACUAAAAAUACAAAAAAUUAGCCGGGCGUGAUGGCGGGCACCUGUGGUCCCAGCUACUCGGGAGGCUGAGGCAGGAGAAUGGCGUGAACCCGGGAGGCAGAGCUUGCAUUGAGCCGAGAUCGCGCCACUGCACUCCAGCCUGGGCGACAGAGCAAGACUCCGUCUCAAAAAAAAAAAGAAAAGAAAAAAAAAAAGAUCUGAUAGUUGAAAGGUGUGUGGUGGUCUCCCCCCUGCCCUCUGCCACCUCUCCUGCUGCAAUGUAAGACGUGCCCUGCUUCCCAUUUCACCAUGAUUGUAAGUUUCCUGAGGCAUCCCCACCCAUGUGAAACUGUGAGUCAAUUAAAGCUUUUUUUUUUUUUUUCCAGAGUCUCCCUCUGUCGCCCAGGCUGGAGCGGAGUGGCGUGAUCUCGGCUCACUGCAACCUCCGCCCCCGGGUUUAAGCAAUUCUCCUGCCUCAGCCUCCAGAGGAGCUGUGAUUACACAUGCUUGCCACCACGCCCGGCUAAUUUUUGUAUUUUCAGUAGAGAUGGGGUUUCACCACGUUAGCCAGGCUGGUCUCGAACUCCUGACCUCGUGAUCAGCCCAACUCGGCCUCCCGAAUUGCUAGGAUUAUAGGCGUGAGCCACCACACCCUACCAAGCUUUUUCCUUUAUAAAUUACCCAGUCACAGGUAGUUAUUAUUUUUUUUUUUUUGAGACAGAGUCUUGCUCUGUUGCCCAGGCUGGAGUGCCAUGGUGUGAUCUCAGCUACUGCAACCUCGGCUUCCUAGAUUCAAGCCAUUCUCCUGCCUCAGCUUCCCAAGUAGCUAGGAUUACAAGCAUGCGCCACCACGCCCAGCUAAUUUUUGUAUAUUUAGUAGAGAUGGAGUUUCAUUCACCAUGUUGGCCAGAUUGGUGUUGAACUGACCUCAGGUGAUCCACCCACCUUGACCUCCCAAACUGCUGGGAUCAUAGGCAUGAGCCACUGCACUCAGCCUCACGUAGUUCUUUGUUGUUGUUGUUUUGUUGCUGUUGUUGUUUUUUCAGACGAAGUCUCACUCUUGUCCCCCAAGCUGGAGUACAAUGGCGCGAUCUCGGCUCACUGCAACCUCCGCCUCCCGGGUUCAAGCAAUUCUCCUGCCUCAGCCUCCCGAGUAGCUGGGAUUAUAGGCGCCUGCCACCAUGCCCGGCUAAUUUUUGUAUUUUAAGUAGAGACGGGGGUUUCACCAUUUUGGCCAGGCUGGUCUCGAACUCCUGACCUCAGGUGAUCCGCCCGCCUCGGCCUCCCAAAGUGCUGGGAUUACAAGUGUGAGCCACCGUGCCCGGCCGGCCUCAGGUAGUUCUUUAUAGCAGUGUGAAAAUGGAGUAAUAGAGAGCUGAGGCAGGAGGAUCACCUGAGGCCAGGAGGUGAGGCUGCAUGAGCUGUGACUGCACCACUGCACUCCAGCCUGGGUGACAAAGUGAGACCCUAUCUCAAAAAAACAAAACAAAAGACAUAUUUAUUUUAAAAAUAAAUAAAUAAACUUUGUAGGACUUUGUUUAGACAUGUUUACCAUAUGACAUAUGUGUCUUUAGAACAGCGUCCAGCAUCUUGUAGAAGGACAAUCAUUACAAAGUUCAAGCACGUUCUGCUUUAAACACACCUAUUGUGCCACACUAAAAUCUGAAUUUGUGAAUAAAUGAACUAAAACAAUCAUAUUAUAAAACUACACAGGACUUUAAAGCGUCAUGUAGGAUGUGACUUUUUUAUUACAGGCUCCCAUAAUGUAUUUAGAAAUAUGACUCAGGAUCUAUCCAUGAUAACAGUCAGUAUAGGAUAAACAAGUUAGUAAUUUAUGUUUAAUAAUGUAUUCUAUUUAUUUUAUUUUAUUUUAUUUUUUGAGCUGGAGUCUCACUCUGUUGCCCAGGCUGGAGUGCAGUGGCACGAUCUCAGCUCACUGCAAGCUCCGCCUCCCGGAUUCAAGCGAUUCUCCUGCCUCAGCCUCCCGAGUAGCUGGGACUACAGGUGCGUGCCACCACGCCCAGCUAAAUGUAUUCUAUUUAUAAUGGUUUAUUCAGGGACUAAUUCCACUAAAGUUAUUAUUCCUGCGCUGUUCUCCACAUCUGUUUUCUUCACCCACACUUCAUUAGGUAGAUGGGUGAUGAUAGUGGUAAUUUUUGUGUUUUUUUUUUUCUUUUUUCAGAUGGAGUUUCGCUCUUGUUGCCAGGCUGGAGUACAGUGGCCUGAUCUCGGCUCACUGCAACCUCUGCCUCCUGGGUUUAAGCAAUUCUCCUGCCUUAGCUUCCUCCUGAGUAGCUUGGAUUACAGGCAUGCGUCACCAUGCCCGGCUAAUAUUGUAUUUUAAUAGAGACGGGAUUUCACCAUGUUGGCCAGGCUGGUCUCGAAGUCCUGACCUCAAGUGAUCCGCCCGCCUCAUCCUCUCAAAGUGCUGGGGUUACAGGCAUUAGCCCUCACGCCUGGCCAAAUGCAGUCUUUUCACCACCUUUUUGGAUCACAGAAAAUGACCAUGAAGCUAUGGAAAAAAGGGAGAGUUGAAUUUAAGAUUAGCUGUCAGCCCAUCUUUCAUUAGCCAUUUCUCUAAUCCAGUCUUGAAUUUUCCUCUUUCUAGUAAUAUGGAGGGUAGCACUAUGUUCAAAGCGGCCACUGGGGAUUUAGGUAUUUUAAUAUCUGUACUAUGUUUCUAGAUAAGUAAAAUAACCAGGUGAAUUUAUCAGCCCACAGUGAACCUGGGGAACAGUUUAUUGAACUAGUGCCCUUAAGUAGAGGACAUUCUCAACAUUGCUAAGUUUAUCUCCCAUUCCCUAUAUCAUGGAAUGAGAGAAAUUUGGAGAAAAAAUUUCUAUUUCCUAAUCUCAGCUUUUUUUUUUUUUUUUUUUCCGAGACAGAGUAUCGAGCUGUCGCCCAGGCUGGAGUGCAAUGGCAUGAUCUUGGCUCACUGCAACCUCUGCCUCCCGCGUUCUAAGUGAUUCUCCUUCCUCAGCCUCCCGAAUAGCUGGGAUUAUAGGCACGCACCAUCAUGCAUGGCUAAUUUUGUAUUUUUAGUAGAGAUGGGGUUUCCCCAUGUUGGCCAGGCUGGUCUCGAACUCCUGAUCUCAGGUUAUCCACCCGCCUCAGCCUCUCCAAGUGCUGGGAUUACAAGUGUGAGCCACCGCACCCCGCCCUAAUCUCAGCCUUUUUAUAUCUUCUUGGUAGGCCCACUUUUUGGCAUCCCCUAACAAGAAGUCCUCAGAGAUUUUUACUACUCAACAUGUGUGCGUCCCACUCAGAUGUAUUGUGUUCUUUCUGUUCACCCUCUACUUCCCAUUCCAUUUCUUCCUCUGACUUAGGGUUAGAAUGGCCCAAUGAUCCUACAACUUUUUGAUGCUAUUUCAUUUGAUUCCUCUACUGUCUAAAUCACAAGUUGGCUAACUUUACUUACUGUAAGGGAUCAGAUAGCAAAUAGUUUAGGCCUUGUGGGCCAUUCAAUCUGUCAUAACUACCCACUCUGACCAUAUGUAGUGCAAAAGCAGCCCUUGACAAUAUAUAAAUGAAUGAACGUGAAUGUAUUUCAAUAAAGCUUUACUUGUGGACACUGAAAUUUGAAUUUUAUAUCAUUUUCACAAGCCACAAAAUAAUUAUUUUGAUUCCCCCCCACCCUCAAUCAUUUAAAAAUGCAAAAAUCAUUCUUAGUUUAUGUGUGGUGAUAGACAGGUGUUGGGCUUGAUUUGGACCCAGUGCCAUAGUUUCAGACCCCUGGUUUAACUGAACUGAAAGGUAAUCAGCUCUGCAAAGCCAUUAUUACUGAAGGAGACUCCCCCUUUUUUCCCUUUGACGUUUCUUCUUUGCAGACAGAACACUGAUAAGUAGCAAGAG